UACGUAGGGUGCAAGCGUUAAUCGGAAUUACUGGGCGUAAAGCGUGCGCAGGCGGUUUGGUAAGACAGAUGUGAAAUCCCCGGGCUCAACCUGGGAAUUGCAUUUGUGACUGCCCGACUAGAGUGUGUCAGAGGGGGGUAGAAUUCCACGUGUAGCAGUGAAAUGCGUAGAGAUGUGGAGGAAUGACCGAUGGCGAAGGCAGCCCCCCUGGGAUAACACUGACGCUCAUGACACGAAAGGCGUGGGGAGCAAACAGG
rnacentral:rRNA from 1 species